rnacentral:rRNA from 1 species
GACGAACGCUGGCGGCGUGCUUAACACAUGCAAGUCGAGCGGAAAGGCCCUUCGGGGUCCUCGAGCGGCGAACGGGUGAGUAACACGUGAGUAACCUGCCCCAGACUUUGGGAUAACCCUCGGAAACGGGGGCUAAUACCGGAUACGACACAGCUUCGCAUGGGGUCUGUGUGGAAAGUUUUUCGGUUUGGGAUGGGCUCGCGGCCUAUCAGCUUGUUGGUGGGGUGAUGGCCUACCAAGGCGACGACGGGUAGCCGGCCUGAGAGGGCGACCGGCCACACUGGGACUGAGACACGGCCCAGACUCCUACGGGAGGCAGCAGUGGGGAAUAUUGCACAAUGGGCGGAAGCCUGAUGCAGCGACGCCGCGUGAGGGAUGGCGGCCUUCGGGUUGUAAACCUCUUUCAGCAGGGACGAAGCGUAAGUGACGGUACCUGCAGAAGAAGCGCCGGCCAACUACGUG